CACAAACUUAUAUACAAGUUUUACGUGCCUCAAACCAGUGAGACCAAAACAACCCCUUAACUCCCCCUGGAAAGGAAGCAUAAUUGAAACAAACUGGAAAUAAAAUUAUUAGUGAAGCUAUUUUCAUUUGCCAGAAGCCGUGCCAAAAGGUAAUUCUGAAGCUGGAGAAACUCUUCAGAGGACUGUGGUGGAGUCAGUGGAGCAGCACAGGAAGCACUAACAUGGGCAAAUUAGUCAUCUCUUUGCCAUACCUGAGAGAGUAGAUGCCACAAAAUACCUUCAGUGCCAUCUAGCUACUAAGCUACAUGAAGAGAUGAAUUUGCAAGUAGCUCUAAUUGCCACAAGGCUCAUCAGUGGCAUGAUGUCCUGUUGCACCAGCUGAUGCUCUGUCCUCAGGGGCCUAAUCAGGAUGGUCAUGUAAGCCACAAAGAUAAUUUGCAAUCAUAAAAAAUUCUGCUUUGAAUGGAUGUUUAUCUAAAGUAUGGCAAAAUGAAUUCCUCAGAAUGAAGGCUAAAUAAAUAACUACCUUCACACACCCCAAACCCACAGGAUAUUUGUAUAGGCACUCAGUAUCGCCAGCCUCUCUGAGCAAUUUGCCAAGAACAAACAACAACAUUAUUUGGCUUUAGCUUUUGUUUCAUGAAGAUGUAUAGAAGCUAUGAAAAAUAUCACCCUUACUGUCUACUUGUCUUGGGUUUCAUGACAUGUCUUCAGAAUUACAUGGACCCAUUUUACUAGCGAUGACUUUACUGACCAUCUAUGAUGACUGCACCCAUGAUGUAUGUCCACACCACAGCCAAACAUACAUUCUGACAGGCUGGUGGCAGGCUGGGAAGAGGGUGGCAUAGCAAACCCGUACCUUUCCCUGGGUAACUCACACUGAAUCAUCACUGCAUGGAACUGAAAAUUGUGGCCACCGAUCAGCCACGUGAAACAUGCAGAAAUGGAAAUAUGAACAGAGGGAGCACAGCCAGGGUUCCAUCAGGCUCUCGACACAACAAGGAGCAGCUGCAAGUGGCAGAGGAAUGAGCUGGUGUUUUGCUUUGUCCUCCUCUGGCCCAGAUCAUGGACCAUUGCCACACAGUCUGAUGUGUCCUGGACCAUGCUAAAAGCUAAGAAAAGCAAAGCACAAUUAAUUUCAAAAGGAUGUUGUUUUUAUAACAUACUGUACUUUGGUGUGGUUAUUUCAUCUAUAGUGUAAUUUGUCCAGAUAAAACUUGUCUAGAAAUGACCUUACAGUCUGGGUAUGAUGCUGAUAGAGGAUACAUUCACACAUGCUUAUGCUCCCAGUGUCACAGCAGUGCUUGGCCAAGGAUCAGCUCCACAGAUGGAGCAGGCAAGUGCCCUUGUCCACUCUGCAGGUCUGAUCCUGCUCUGGGUGCAAGCUCAUGACAAGGUGAAAUCAGUCCCACCAACAAGAGCACAAGGAUAAUCCCUGGCUGCGAUGGCAACGCACUGCUGGCAGCAACACCAAACUUGUUAAUGGCAGUGGGACAUGUGUCAGAAGGGAUCAGUGCCUGUCAGAGCACAGAGAGGACUUUUAUCUCCUGUUUGGAUGUUCUCACUACCUUAAUGCUGAAGAAUUUAUCCAGGCAAGACCAGAUUAUCUCCAGGAGCAGUGUUGGCAAUUUCACGGAGACCAAGUCAGCUUCUACCAGUUGGCAAUCUGCCUGUAUAGCCAGUCAGCGUGAAAGUUUUGAGAGCAUACAAGUAAUUGAAAUUAGUGAUGAGGAGGAUAUUUAUCUUCGUAUGGAUGGACCUUGGCAGUGUGAAGUGGGUCUUAAAAGGAGCAUCCGUGUGGCACCCCCAAGAGACUUCUAGUCAAUACUUAAAGCUUUCACCGUAAAAGGUAGUUCCUAGCAUGGGAAAAGCUGGCAGUUCAAGCAGAGAAGGGCUGCAGCCCUCAGGUGUCCCUCUGAGCUGGAAUUACCAUACAGACACUUAAGUAAAAAUGAGAGUGGCGCUCAAACCUGACA